rnacentral:rRNA from 1 species
GCAGCAGCGGUUAUACGUUAUUAUAAAUUAAUUAUUUUUGAAUAAAUUAAUUUAAACAUAUUCAUUUUAAAAAUGAAAUUUCUAAAAUUAACAAUUUAUAAAUUUUACUAAAAUUAGGCUAAAACCAGGAUUAGAUACCCUGUUAUUCUAAAUCUAAAUAAUAAUUCAUAGAAUAUCUAAAUAAAUUUGACGGUAUUAACUUUUACAAAGGAAUUUGUUUCUUAAUCGAAAACACACGACCAACCUCACUUAAACUAACUGUCUGUAUACCACCGUUAAGAUAUUAUUUUAAAUAUAUUUCAAAAAAACUUUCCCGUUAAAAGAUCAGGUCAAGGUGCAACAUCAUUAAGAUGAAAUGAACUAUAUUAAAUUACCUUAAACAUAAGACAUGAAACUUCUUAAAAAAAGAAUUUGUCAGUAAAAAUAGAUCAUAAUGCUUUUUUGAAAAACUAACAUUAAUAUGUACAUAUCG